rnacentral:rRNA from 1 species
UACGUAGGGGGCUAGCGUUGCUCGGAAUUACUGGGCGUAAAGGGCGCGUAGGCGGCUUAGUUAGUCAGGCGUGAAAUUCCUGGGCUCAACCUGGGGACUGCGCUUGAUACGGCUAGGCUAGAGGAUGGAAGAGGUCGCGGAAUUCCCAGUGUAGAGGUGAAAUUCGUAGAUAUUGGGAAGAACACCGGUGGCGAAGGCGGCGACCUGGUCCAUUACUGACGCUGAGGCGCGACAGCGUGGGGAGCAAACAGGAUUGA